GGAUGGAUGGAUCCCGAUGUGCAUGACCGAAGGCAGAUACUCGCCAAGCGAGUGUUAUCUAAUUAGCACCGACUUAGUGUUACUCUCAGGUAUUUGUUGCUGGCUAGAGCUAACCAGGAUUCAUAUCGGUGGGCUCGAUGUGACGUCCUCACGUCUUCGUAGUAUCGUGGUUUUUAUAUCGAACUUCUUUUUAAUUACCGCUGCAUUUCGAACUUUGGUAUUUUACAUAAACUUGUUUGUAAAACUCCACAUUGUAAAUUAAAUUUGAAAAUUUGUUGUCUGCUUGUAAUCAUCUGUGCUCGUCUUCGUGCGAAA